GGGCGAGUGGUGGAAUGGCAGACACGCUGGUCUUAGGAACCAGUGCCGCAAGGCGUAGGAGUUCGACUCUCCUCUCGCCCACCA
rnacentral:tRNA from 1 species